rnacentral:rRNA from 1 species
UGGGGAAUUUUGGACAAUGGGCCCAAGCCUGAUCCAGCAAUGCCGCGUGAGUGAAGAAGGCCCUCGGGUUGUAAAGCUCUUUUGUCAGGGAAGAAAAGGUGAUCUCUAAUACAGGUCACUCAUGACGGUACCUGAAGAAUAAGCACCGGCUAACUACGUGCCAGCAGCCGCGGUAAUACGUAGGGUGCAAGCGUUAAUCGGAAUUACUGGGCGUAAAGCGUGCGCAGGCGGUUAUAUAAGUCAGAUGUGAAAUCCCCGGGCUCAACCUGGGAACUGCAUUUGAGACUGUAUGGCUAGAGUGUGUCAGAGGGGGGUAGAAUUCCACGUGUAGCAGUGAAAUGCGUAGAUAUGUGGAGGAAUACCGAUGGCGAAGGCAGCCCCCUGGGAUAACACUGACGCUCAUGCACGAAAGCGUGGGGAGCAAACA